UUCCCAUAGGGUACCAUACAGCUGGGAGGAGCAGUGUAACAACUGUUCCAGCACCUACUUCACCUCAUCUCUGCAAGGACAGCUGUGUUGACAACUCCUCCUACCCUACUGAGUUUGUUUUUUUUUUUUUUUUUUUUUUUAAAAAAAAAGGAGCUGGAAUAUAUAUGCAGCAGCCACCUGGAGAAGGAAGAAAGGGCGGCUCAUAUCAGUGCUUCCCCUAUCCUCUUCCCAUGGCAGCAUGGCUUCCCUGUCCUGGCUUUCAUCCUCAGAACAGGAAAUCUCAACUUUGCCCACACUUCUUGAGAUGGUUUAAGACAGCUUUAUAUAUGAACACCUGAAAACAAGACAGCUUGAGAUUCCAGGAACCUUUCUCAAGCCCACAACAGGGAAGAUAUCUGCCUUGUUCUUUCUUUCUUUCAUCUACAACUACUGCAGACGUUUUGCUCCAGGAUUAUAAGAUUGUGUCUCGAGGAAUGUGAGAGCCUCUGGGAAAGUACUACGUUCCUUAUCUGUCAUUUUGGGAACUGACAUAAACUGCCAUUGAGUUCAUCUGUAUUUCCUAGAAUACGCUCAGGACUUCACCAGAUCAGACCUAUGUAAAAACAAACACAUACAAAAUACUGGAUGUACCCAAAUUUCCUGACUCACUUUAUCAAAUUCACAGCUGUAUAGUUCCAGGUAAAGAAGUAGAUAUACUAUUCUUAUUAGUUUUUCUAUUUCAGAAAACAUGUAAGAUUGAAGACUGUAACUUAACUGAAGCCAGGGAUACGAAAAAAGAGGAAGUAGAAGAAUAAUGUACCAAUAAAAUGUUGACAGUU